rnacentral:rRNA from 1 species
UCGGCGUCAGGAUGAACGCUGGCGGCGUGCUUAACACAUGCAAGUCGAGCGAAGCACUCUGUCUGAUUCUUCGGAUUGAAGACAGUUUGACUGAGCGGCGGACGGGUGAGUAACGCGUGGGAACCUGCCUUACACAGGGGGAUAACAGUUAGAAAUGGCUGCCUAAUACCGCAUAACCCGCUGGGGUCGCAUGACUCUGACGGAAAAGAUUGUAUCGGUGUAAGAUGGACCCGCGUCUGAUUAGCUGGUUGGUGAGGUAACGGCUCACCAAGGCGACGAUCAGUAGCCGACCUGAGAGGGUGAUCGGCCACAUUGGGACUGAGACACGGCCCAAACUCCUACGGGAGGCAGCAGUGGGGAAUAUUGCACAAUGGGGGAAACCCUGAUGCAGCAACGCCGCGUGAGUGAAGAAGUAUUUCGGUAUGUAAAGCUCUAUCAGCAGGGAGGAAAUUGACAGUACCUGACUAAGAAGCCCCGGCUAACUACGUG